rnacentral:rRNA from 1 species
CGGUUAAGUUAGAAAGGGCGCACGGUGGAUGCCUUGGCACUAGGAGCCGAUGAAGGACGGGACGAACAACCGAUAUGCUUCGGGGAGCUGUAAGCAAGCUUUGAUCCGGAGAUUUCCGAAUGGGGAAACCCACCACUCGUAAUGGAGUGGUAUCCAUAUCUGAAUUCAUAGGAUAUGAGAAGGCAGACCCGGGGAACUGAAACAUCUAAGUACCCGGAGGAAGAGAAAGCAAAUGCGAUUCCCUGAGUAGCGGCGAGCGAAACGGGAUUAGCCCAAACCAAGAGGCUUGCCUCUUGGGGUUGUAGGACACUCUGUACGGAGUUACAAAGGAACGAGGUAGAUGAAGAGGUCUGGAAAGGCCCGCCAUAGGAGGUAACAGCCCUGUAGUCAAAACUUCGUUCUCUCCUGAGUGGAUCCUGAGUACGGCGGAACACGUGAAAUUCCGUCGGAAUCCGGGAGGACCAUC